GAUUGUUUAGUUUUUUUAUUGAAAUGUGGGGUUAAUUUAUAGUGUCCGACCGAAAUUUCAAUUUCGGCCUAAAAUAGGAAUUUCGGUCAAGCUUUUAAACAAUUUAAAAAGUGAAAAAUAUUUUAGAAAGUUUGUUAAUGCCAAAAACAUAUGACAAAGUAAAGACCAAGGUCAUGAAUUUGGUUGAUAAAUAUACAUGGAUAAGUGCCACUACACAUAUAUGGUUCACAAAGAUUGAAUAUGGUAUUGGGCGGAACGGUAUUAAAUUAGGACCUUGCUUAUAUUGAACAAAAAAUAACUGAAAUGGUGAACGACUGGAAUAUCAGAAAGAAGCUGUUCAUAAUUAUACAUGGUAAUGCAGCCAAUAUGGUAAGUGUGGUACAUACUCUGAAAUUAGUCAUAAAAGAUGUUUUGUUUGAAAAUGAGCGGAACAAAAUUUUAGUACAUAACUGUAGAAAAAUUGUAGGCAAUCUUCAGAGUGGACUUCUGAUUCAUUGUUUGCUGUAAAACAUAGAAAUCAGGUGGAAUAGCACCUACUUAAUGCUGCAGCGUCUUGUAGAGCAAAAAAGGGCAAUAAAUUUCUAUGCCAUUAAGCAUGGAGGUAUACCUACACUCUCCUGUACUGACUGGAAACAUAUUGAAAAUUUAAUAAAUGUGCUAAAAUAUUUUUAUGAGGCUACAACACUCGACAUAUCCUCUGAUAGUGCCCGUAUUUCGAUUAUUAUACCAUUAUUAGCUGUAUUAAACAAUAAACUACAACUUCAAAACGAAAAGGAAAAUGAAUUACUGAAGUAAAAAGAACAACUACGUUACUCGACCCAAGAUUUAAAACCAAAUACAGUAAAGACCGGUUAUAACGAGUAUGCUUUAUAACGAGCACCUGCUCUAUAACGAGCAAGCUUCCAAGUCCCGUGAAAAAUCCUAUCCUUACAAUGUAAAAAAUCUCGGUUAUAACGCGUGCUCGGUUAUAACGAGAGUUCGGUUAUAACGAGAGCUCGGUUGUAGUUUUGCGUGUUUUGUACCGUUUAUAACGAGCGAAUGACGUAAAAAUCUGGUGACGUCGCGACGCGCCAUUUAGGCACCAUGUACAGGCAGCAUCGGCAGUUCAGUUUAUCGCUAGAUUUACGUGAACUUGUAUCUAUACAUCGUUACAAAAAUCGUCAUAUUAACAACUUAGAAUGCGUACUUGCGUACUUUUCGCCAAAUUCAACUUCCGUCUUACAACCGAUGGACCAAGGCAUAAUUAAAUCAAUGAAAACGUUUUACCGACAAAAGUUAUUGUUCAAGUUAGUAGAAGCUAUGGAUCUGAAUGAAAAAUUAAAAAUUGAUAUUUUAGAUGCCAUAAUAAUGCUAAACAGCGCAUGGAUAAAUGUUAAAAAAGAAACAAUAAUGAAUUGCUUUCGUCAUGCAUUCGGAAAUCUUGCAGAGAGUUUUAGCGAGGAAGAUGAAAUUCCCUUAGCUCAAUUAAUUACGCGUAUCUCUGUGGAAGAAAAUCUUUCUAGUUGGGCAGAGAAAAAC